GGAAGUUUGGCCGAGUGGUUUAAGGCGCCAGAUUUAGGUUCUGGUAUCUUCGGAUGCAUGAGUUCGAAUCUCAUAGCUUUCA
rfam:Kazachstania saulgeensis genome assembly, contig: scaffold_06